AUGCCAUGAUGACGACAUCUUCUGAGCAACUCUUUAAAUCUCUCACAAGCCUCAUACAAGCUCUCAUAUUCGAGUUGGUGAAAAGAGGUGAUCUCAUUCUGCAAUCU
rnacentral:snoRNA from 1 species